AAUUGAAGAGUUUGAUCAUGGCUCAGAUUGAACGCUGGCGGCAGGCCUAACACAUGCAAGUCGGACGGUAGCACAGAGGAGCUUGCUCCUUGGGUGACGAGUGGCGGACGGGUGAGUAAUGUCUGGGGAUCUGCCCGAUAGAGGGGGAUAACCACUGGAAACGGUGGCUAAUACCGCAUAACGUCGCAAGACCAAAGAGGGGGACCUUCGGGCCUCUCACUAUCGGAUGAACCCAGAUGGGAUUAGCUAGUAGGCGGGGUAAUGGCCCACCUAGGCGACGAUCCCUAGCUGGUCUGAGAGGAUGACCAGCCACACUGGAACUGAGACACGGUCCAGACUCCUACGGGAGGCAGCAGUGGGGAAUAUUGCACAAUGGGCGCAAGCCUGAUGCAGCCAUGCCGCGUGUAUGAAGAAGGCCUUCGGGUUGUAAAGUACUUUCAGCGGGGAGGAAGGCGAUGUGGUUAAUAACCGCAUCGAUUGACGUUACCCGCAGAAGAAGCACCGGCUAACUCCGUGCCAGCAGCCGCGGUAAUACGGAGGGUGCAAGCGUUAAUCGGAAUUACUGGGCGUAAAGCGCACGCAGGCGGUCUGUUAAGUCAGAUGUGAAAUCCCCGGGCUUAACCUGGGAACUGUAUUUGAAACUGGCAGGCUUGAGUCUUGUAGAGGGGGGUAGAAUUCCAGGUGUAGCGGUGAAAUGCGUAGAGA
rnacentral:rRNA from 1 species